AAGUGGUGGUGAGUGACCAAAACACAGAGUCAAAACUGAAAGUCAGUUGAAAAACCUGCCUGACAACCAAAAACUGGACCUCUGCUCUACAUUUGAGAGGAAUGCUUCACUUGAAUUGCCUCAUUGUUCAUCCGCACACAUGAGGAUCAUCCAAAACACAAAUCUUCUUGCGUAUAGGUCUGCCAAGUCAAACCUGGCUGAAAUACUACCCAUCUUCAACAAUGUGGUUCUCGUUGUCUGUUCUACUGCUUCGUGCUAGCUGACGUUUUACAUUCUCAAACUGCUGGAGCAAAGAGGUGGUGAACUGCUUGCCGUUGUGACUGGUCAGAGAGUCCCCAGCGUUGCCCUGGUAGGUGCCCAGGCGCAGGCGGUACGACUCGCUCU